UACGUAGGGUGCGAGCGUUAAUCGGAAUUACUGGGCGUAAAGCGUGCGCAGGCGGUUUUGGAAGGCAGAUGUGAAAUCCCCGGGCUUAACCUGGGAAUGGCAUUUGGGACUGCAAGGCUCGAGUGCGGCAGAGGAGACUGGAAUUCCUGGUGUAGCAGUGAAAUGCGUAGAUAUCAGGAGGAACACCGAUGGCGAAGGCAGGUCUCUGGGCUGACACUGACGCUCAUGCACGAAAGCGUGGGGAGCAAACAGG
rnacentral:rRNA from 1 species